GGCACCGUAACUUCGGGAGAAGGUGCGCCGGCUAGGGUGAAGGAUUUACUCCGUAAGCUCUGGCUGGUCGAAGAUACCAGGCCGCUGCGACUGUUUAUUAAAAACACAGCACUCUGCAAACACGAAAGUGGACGUAUAGGGUGUGACGCCUGCCCGGUGCCGGAAGGUUAAUUGAUGGGGUUAGCGCAAGCGAAGCUCUUGAUCGAAGCCCCGGUAAACGGCGGCCGUAACUAUAACGGUCCUAAGGUAGCGAAAUUCCUUGUCGGGUAAGUUCCGACCUGCACGAAUGGCGUAACGAUGGCGGCGCUGUCUCCACCCGAGACUCAGUGAAAUUGAAAUCGCUGUGAAGAUGCAGUGUAUCCGCGGCUAGACGGAAAGACCCCGUGAACCUUUACUGUAGCUUUGCACUGGACUUUGAGCCUGCUUGUGUAGGAUAGGUGGGAGGCUUUGAAGCGUGGACGCCAGUUCGCGUGGAGCCAUCCUUGAAAUACCACCCUGGCAUGCUUGAGGUUCUAACUCUGGUCCGUAAUCCGGAUCGAGGACAGUGUAUGGUGGGCAGUUUGACUGGGGCGGUCUCCUCCUAAAGAGUAACGGAGGAGUACGAAGGUGCGCUCAGACCGGUCGGAAAUCGGUCGCAGAGUAUAAAGGCAAAAGCGCGCUUGACUGCGAGACAGACACGUCGAGCAGGUACGAAAGUAGGUCUUAGUGAUCCGGUGGUUCUGUAUGGAAGGGCCAUCGCUCAACGGAUAAAAGGUACUCCGGGGAUAACAGGCUGAUACCGCCCAAGAGUUCAUAUCGACGGCGGUGUUUGGCACCUCGAUGUCGGCUCAUCACAUCCUGGGGCUGAAGCCGGUCCCAAGGGUAUGGCUGUUCGCCAUUUAAAGUGGUACGCGAGCUGGGUUUAGAACGUCGUGAGACAGUUCGGUCCCUAUCUGCCGUGGACGUUUGAGAUUUGAGAGGGGCUGCUCCUAGUACGAGAGGACCGGAGUGGACGAACCUCUGGUGUUCCGGUUGUCACGCCAGUGGCAUUGCCGGGUAGCUAUGUUCGGAAAAGAUAACCGCUGAAAGCAUCUAAGCGGGAAACUUGCCUCAAGAUGAGAUCUCACUGGGAACUUGAUUCCCCUGAAGGGCCGUCGAAGACUACGACGUUGAUAGGCUGGGUGUGUAAGCGUUGUGAGGCGUUGAGCUAACCAGUACUAAUUGCCCGUGAGGCUUGACCAU
rnacentral:rRNA from 1 species